rnacentral:rRNA from 1 species
UGGGAAUUUGGACAAUGGGGCAACCCUGAUCCAGCAAUGCCGCGUGUGUGAAGAAGGCCUUCGGGUUGUAAAGCACUUUUGUCCGGAAAGAAAACGCCGUGGUUAAUACCCGUGGCGGAUGACGGUACCGGAAGAAUAAGCACCGGCUAACUACGUGCCAGCAGCCGCGGUAAUACGUAGGGUGCAAGCGUUAAUCGGAAUUACUGGGCGUAAAGCGUGCGCAGGCGGUCCGCUAAGACAGAUGUGAAAUCCCCGGGCUUAACCUGGGAACUGCAUUUGUGACUGGCGGGCUAGAGUAUGGCAGAGGGGGGUAGAAUUCCACGUGUAGCAGUGAAAUGCGUAGAGAUGUGGAGGAAUACCGAUGGCGAAGGCAGCCCCCUGGGCCAAUACUGACGCUCAUGCACGAAAGCGUGGGGAGCAAACAGGAUUAGAUACCCUAGUAGUCCACGCCCUAAACGAUGUCAACUAGUUGUCGGGUCUUCAUUGACUUGGUAACGUAGCUAACGCGUGAAGUUGACCGCCUGGGGAGUACGGUCGCAAGAUU